rnacentral:rRNA from 1 species
CGUGUAGGCGGUUAAGUAAGUCAGAUGUGAAAGCCCGGAGCUCAACUCCGGAACUGCCAUUGAUACUAUUAAUCUUGAAUACAGUUGAGGUGGGCGGAAUGUGUAGUGUAGCGGUGAAAUGCUUAGAUAUUACACAGAACACCGAUUGCGAAGGCAGCUCGCUAAACUGUUAUUGACGCUGAGGCACGAAAGCGUGGGGAGCGAACAGGAUUAGAUACCCUGGUAGUCC